ACGCGAAGGACUGCAAAUCCUUGUUCCCCAGUUCAAAUUCGGGUGUCACCUAAUUCUGGGGAAAGAAAGAACAACGAAUUUAUCUUCAUAAUUUGAAUGAUUUCCCGAUCUAAUUAGACGUUAAAAUAAAUUAGUAACUGAUGUGGGAAAGGAUUCUACCACGAGUACGUAUCGCCUACAAGUCUACCACCCACUAGGCACUACCGCACUAGCCCUAGGUUACUACCUCAUUCUCCGAGGACAUGACUAACUAAUCAGUUAUAUAUCAUUGUUAAAAAAUAAGCUCCUUGAUUGUAGACACAUAAAUUCAUAAUGGUGAAACCGUGAAAGUCAUAUAAAAACGCCAAAAGAGAAAACGAUGCUACUAGGACUACAACUUUAUCUCUUUGAUCUAUCGUCUUCCCCAUCUUCAUACUGCUUCCUUCUUCUGGCUUUUUGUCAUGAUUACUUUCUAUUGCCAUCAUUGUUAUCAAUUACCAUCAUAAAGGGGCACAAAAUGUUACAUACCAAUAAAUAAAUACAAGCAUAACCCCCACCUAUAACAUGAUUUUAUUCACACUACAAACAAUAUAUAAUACACCAUAUAGAAACAUACAUAACUUAUGUAGUAAUUAAAAAGCUCUUCUAUUUUCUCCCUUUACCCUGAAUUUGCAUAGUAGAUAUGUGUAUAAACUUCACAGAAAUAAUCCCUUCUCAAUUCUUAUACUAUAAUUAUCGUCCGAAGAUGAGAAGCUGCAAUAUUCAUUGGAUAAUCACAAGAAGGAGAAGAAAUUCGUCAUUGUAUUAUAAAGCAAAACUCAAGGCAAAUAAGAUGUUAUUAGAGAAGAACUUGGAGUUAUAUUUGAAGAACCAAGAUAUAAUAAGGGAGAAUGUCAAGCUAAGGGAAAGAGUUACUUAUCUUAAUGAAGAGAACAAGGUUUUAGUAGCUCAACUACGAAAGUCAUCUUUGUCACAAUGAUGAAACAACAACAACGACGACGACGACGACAACAACGACGACGACGACGACAACAACAACGACGACGACGACGACGACGACAAUCCAGUAUGAAUCUCGCUAAAAGAGCAGGAGUACUUAGAGAUUAGAAGGUCUAGUUAAUUAUAUAUAGUUUUAUCCCUAAUUAUAUAAAAAAAAAAAUGGUGUCAUAUUCAAUAUUUGAGAUAUAAUUGAGCAGCUUAUGUAGAGUGCAUUUAGAAUGAUCUAAAGAUUGUGAUUUGAAAUUUA